rnacentral:lncRNA from 1 species
CAGAAAUGCAUUGAAAAGAGGAUUCUUGAACAUCAGCUAUUAUCGGUCGAUGAACACUGCAAGAUCAGCUUUGAGGUUUAUAUUUAAUUAAUAUAUUGAGAAGAUUUAGUAAGAUAAAAGCCUACCAGAUGAACAAAACACUCCUCAUUGAAACAUGCAUCUUCACAGCUCCUCUGACAACGCAGGUGGCAGCGGGGUGGGGAGAGCUUCUGUGGAAGCACCAUGUUGGUUUAAAAAGAGAAAAGAAAGCAGGUGGAGUGCCAAAAAUAAACCAAGAAUGGAACCUGAGACCACAGCUGUCUGGCGGCUCCUGCUGCAACAAGGCUGGAGAGCCCCCACGGCAUUCCCACAGGAGCUGAGGAAGGGGUGACAGAGAGUUCCUGCUUACACCAUACACAUGAGAUCUAUACAGCAGGAUGGCAGGGACAUUGCCAAGCUGAGACAAGCCAGAAGCAUCCUCUCAGAUGGGAACACAGCAGGGUCUGCCCUGAGCCGCAUCAUGAGACGGGACAGUCUGGGAGCCACCCAGGAGGAGAAUGGGGUGCAGUUAGGAUUUCACAAUACAGGCCUUCCUCCCCUUCAAGGGUAACUUUAGCUUUUAUGAGAAACAGAUGAACUUAAGAGCAGAGAUUGCUGCAGAAGGUGAAAAACAGGCGAGCUGCAGAAGAUAAGCUCCAGUGAGGGCGGUGGCACUGGUGAUGGACCCCUGCCUGCACUAGCUGAGUGGCUGGCAGUGCCAACACAUUUCCACUUGGAGAUGGAGGUUGUGCUACAUGCACAGAUAGCAACAGGUUACCAGGAGCUGGGAACAAACAUAUCCACAAGCUAUAUCCACAGGGAUGUUAGAGUAAUAAUUGGC